rfam:Microbacterium sp. SCN 70-27 ABS63_C0026, whole genome shotgun sequence.
AAUGCGGUGCCCCACCCCCCCAACCGGGGCGUCGCUUGGGCGGCAUCCCAUUCCCCCAGUGGGAUGCCGCCCCCU